AAAGAAGACGAGCCGGGCAACGAGAACAAGUGGAUAAGAUCAGAAGACAGGAAAGAUGAAUACAAGAAAACAGGACCAGACGACCCAGGAGACAAAAAAGAAAAAGAAAAAGAAAAGAAGAUCCUCUAUCCUAUCUCCCCAAGUCCUCCCACUCCCACCCGCCAUCCCGGGGUCCCGCCACCCAUAUGAGAUCCGCAAAAAACGGAUGGCAUACGGAAACCAUACGGAUAUGUUUUGUGGAAUAACGG